rnacentral:rRNA from 1 species
ACUCAAAGGAAUAGACGGGGGCCCGCACAAGCGGUGGAGCAUGUGGUUCAAUUCGAAGCAACGCGCAGAACCUUACCAACUUUUGACAUGUCCCGUAUGGCCUUAAGAGAUUAGGGUCUUCACUUCGGGUGGCGGGAACACAGGUGCUGCAUGGCUGUCGUCAGCUCGUGUCGUGAGAUGUUGGGUUAAGUCCCGCAACGAGCGCAACCCCCGUCUUUAGUUGCCAUCAUUCAGUUGGGCACUCUAGAGAGACUGCCGGUGAUAAGCCGCGAGGAAGGUGGGGAUGACGUCAAGUCCUCAUGGCCCUUACAGGUUGGGCUACACACGUGCUACAAUGGCGGUGACAAUGGGCAGCGAACCCGCAAGGGGGAGCUAAUCUUUAAAAGCCGUCUCAGUUCGGAUUGUGCUCUGCAACUCGAGCACAUGAAGCUGGAAUCGCUAGUAAUCGUAGAUCAGAACGCUACGGUGAAUACGUUCCCGGGCCUUGUACACACCGCCCGU